CUAUACUGCAAGUCGAGCGGACCGACGGGAGCUUGCUCCCUUAGGUCAGCGGCGGACGGGUGAGUAACACGUGGGUAACCUGCCUGUAAGACUGGGAUAACUCCGGGAAACCGGGGCUAAUACCGGAUGCUUGAUUGAACCGCAUGGUUCAAUCAUAAAAGGUGGCUUUUAGCUACCACUUGCAGAUGGACCCGCGGCGCAUUAGCUAGUUGGUGAGGUAACGGCUCACCAAGGCGACGAUGCGUAGCCGACCUGAGAGGGUGAUCGGCCACACUGGGACUGAGACACGGCCCAGACUCCUACGGGAGGCAGCAGUAGGGAAUCUUCCGCAAUGGACGAAAGUCUGACGGAGCAACGCCGCGUGAGUGAUGAAGGUUUUCGGAUCGUAAAACUCUGUUGUUAGGGAAGAACAAGUACCGUUCGAAUAGGGCGGUACCUUGACGGUACCUAACCAGAAAGCCACGGCUAACUACGUGCCAGCAGCCGCGGUAAUACGUAGGUGGCAAGCGUUGUCCGGAAUUAUUGGGCGUAAAGCGCGCGCAGGCGGUUUCUUAAGUCUGAUGUGAAAGCCCCCGGCUCAACCGGGGAGGGUCAUUGGAAACUGGGGAACUUGAGUGNANAAAAAGAGAGUGGAAUUCCACGUGUAGCGGUGAAAUG
rnacentral:rRNA from 1 species